AAAGAAUUCUAAAGAGGAUAUGACCUGUGAGGAGGAAUCUGUAGAGGGAUACAGUUGGAUUUGGGUGGAGGGCCAUUACCUCAGCCACAGAUGAUGAAUCUUUCAUUGCAGACUGUCUUUCAAAGGUUAGAACACGACUUCAUUUUGCUUCUUAUUCCCAAGUGAGUGCUUCUCAGCUCUCUCUUUUAAUUGGUG
rnacentral:lncRNA from 1 species